AUAUUAAACAUUAGAUGCCUUUCGCCAUACUGAUUUACCAAAGUUAACUCUUAGUGUGCCGCUGUAAGCACGCUCAAAGCAGGCGAUUCAUUGAGGAUUUUUUAGAUUACGACGGGACAGCACAAAAAGGUCUGAAAAACGGGACUGUCCCGUUAAAUACGGUACGUAUGGUCAGCCUACUGGAUAGUGACGAUAUUGCUGUCGAGUUUGCCAGAGACGUACAAUCCGUUGAUUACACUGUAAACUCGGCAUUACUCAUUAAUUUGGUAAAAAUAUCCAUUAUUUUACGACAUAUGGAGCUGUCAAAAUAAUGGGUAUUUGUAAAUUUCUCAUAGUGGGUAAAUUAUGUUCAUUAUAUACUUCCGAAUAUUUACCCAUUAAUGGGUGAAAAUAUAAUUCUUGUACUUAAAACAUUCUGCAGUUGAAGUGGAAGCGGCACCGACAAUGACGUUGGAAUCGAGGUUGUAAUGAGUGAAUUAUUUGUUUUACACCUCAAGUGUCCUGCAAAUUCUUGGGCAAAUUGCUAUUUCCUGUGCCAUGAUCUACCCGGCUGCUAACGGGGCAUUUUCUGUAGCACCUUGUUCGCUGGACUCAGCACCGAUGACGCUGAAUCGAAGCAGUUCCGGCGACUGAUGGCAUGAUGGGUCUCGUUUCACAAAGGCAUCUCGGAUGGCGUCUCGAAAGGCUCCAAUAGAGCCAGCGAAUAUUUAUUCUGGCCGGAUUUGGUUGGUCCGGCCGUGACCCGGCCGAUUCGCACGGAUUUUGGCACCUCGUUUUCCCACACGGCCUGCCACCUCAGUAAAGGACAAGGAACAAAGUGUCCAUUCGCUGGAUCAGCUACAAUACAUCUUUAAUUUAAAUCGAGAAUCAUUUGAGUGGCUACAAAGUGCACUUUGCAUGCAAGAAAAUAAAAAUUGUGUUUAUUUUUUAAAUAACUCAAUAAUAAAUAAAUCUAUUCAACUAAUUCGAUUAUUUUACUUCAUUUUUAUCAA